AUACGGAGGGUGCAAGCGUUGUUCGGAAUCACUGGGCGUAAAGGGCGCGCAGGCGGUUUGGUAAGUCAGAUGUGAAAGCCCACGGCUCAACCGUGGAAGUGCAUUUGAAACUGUCAGACUUGAGUACUAGAGGGGAACGUGGAAUUCCCGGUAUAGAGGUGAAAUUCGUAGAUAUCGGGAGGAAUACCGGUGGCGAAGGCGACUUUCUGGCUAGAUACUGACGCUGAGGCGCGAAAGCGUGGGGAGCAAACAGGAUUAGAAACCCUAGUAGUCC
rnacentral:rRNA from 1 species